AGAGUUUGAUCCUGGCUCAGGAUGAACUUUGGCGGCGUGCCUAACACAUGCAAGUCGAACGGACUUAUAACGAAACCUAGUGAAUUAUAAGUUAGUGGCGGACGGGUGAGUAACGCGUGGAAAACCUGCCGUAUACUGGGGGAUAACACUUAGAAAUAGGUGCUAAUACCGCAUAAGCGCACAGCUUCGCAUGAAGCAGUGUGAAAAACUCCGGUGGUAUACGAUGGUUCCGCGUCUGAUUAGCUGGUUGGCGGGGUAAAAGCCCACCAAGGCAACGAUCAGUAGCCGGCCUGAGAGGGUGAACGGCCACAUUGGGACUGAGACACGGCCCAGACUCCUACGGGAGGCAGCAGUGGGGGAUAUUGCACAAUGGGGGAAACCCUGAUGCAGCGACGCCGCGUGAGUGAAGAAGUAUUUCAAUAUGUAAAGCUCUAUCAGCAGGGAAGAAAAAAAGUCCACAGGACUUUGGACGGUACCUGACUAAGAAGCCCCGGCUUAACUACGUGCCAGCAGCCGCGGUAAUUCGUAGGGGGCAAGCGUUAUCUGGAUUUACUUGGUGUAAAGGGAGAGUCGACGGCUGUGCAAGUUUGAAGUGAAAUUCCGGGGCUUAACCCCGGAACUGCUUUGGAAACUGUACAGAUAGAGUGCAGGAGGGGUGAGCGGAAUUCCUAGUGUAGCGGUGAAAUGCGUAGAUAUUAGGAAGAACACCGGUGGCGAAGGCGGCUCCCUGGACUGUAACUGACGUUGAGGCUCGAAAGCGUGGGGAGCCCCCAAAAGUAGGUACCCUGGUAGUCCACCCGGUAACCGAUGAUUACUAGGUGUCCGGGGGGCCAAGGCCUUUAGGUGCCGGCGCAAAACGCAUUUAAGUGAUCCACCUGGGGAGUAGGUUCGCAAGAAUGAAACUCAAAGGGAUUGACGGGGACCCGCACAAGCGGUGGAGCAUGUGGUUUAAUCCGAAGCAACGCGAAGAACCUUACCCGGCCUUGACAUCCCGAUGAAUGUACAGUAAUGUGUACAGGACUUCGGUACAUCGGAGACAGGUGGUGCAUGGUUGUCGUCAGCUCGUGUCGUGAGAUGUUGGGUUAAGUCCCGCAACGAGCGCAACCCCUGCUCUCAGUAGCCAGCAGGUAAAGCUGGGAACUCUGAGGGGACUGCCCGGGAUAACCGGGAGGAAGGCGGGGAUGACGUCAAAUCAUCAUGCCCCUUAUGGCCGGGGCUACACACGUGCUACAAUGGCGGAAACAGAGGGAGGCAGCCCCGUGAGGGUGAGCGAACCCCAAAAAUACCGCCUCAGUUCGGAUUGUAGUCUGCAACCCGACUACAUGAAGCCGGAAUCGCUAGUAAUCGCGAAUCAGAAUGUCGCGGUGAAUACGUUCCCGGGUCUUGCACACACAGCCCGUCA
rnacentral:rRNA from 1 species